rfam:Schistosoma mansoni strain Puerto Rico chromosome 5, complete genome
AUCUAGCUGACGAGUCCCAAAUAGGACUUGAUGCGCGUCCUGGAU